ACGGUUACCUUGUUACGACUUAGCCCCAGUCACCAGUUUUACCCUAGGGCGCUCCUCGCGGUUACGCACUUCAGGUACCCCCGGCUCCCAUGGCUUGACGGGCGGUGUGUACAAGGCCCGGGAACGUAUUCACCGCGCCGUGGCUGAUGCGCGAUUACUAGCGAAACCAGCUUCGUGGAGUCGGGUUGCAGACUCCAGUCCGAACUGAGAGAGGUUUUGGGGAUUGGCAUCCACUCGCGUGGUAGCGGCCCUCUGUACCCCCCAUUGUAACACGUGUGUAGCCCCGGACGUAAGGGCCGUGCUGAUUUGACGUCAUCCCCACCUUCCUCACAUCUUACGAUGGCAGUCUUGUCAGAGUCCUCAGCGGAACCUGUUAGUAACUGACAACAAGGGUUGCGCUCGUUAUGGCACUUAAGCCGACACCUCACGGCACGAGCUGACGACAACCAUGCAGCACCUUCACAGAUGCCUUGCGGCUU
rnacentral:rRNA from 1 species